GUCAUUUGAAUCUCUCUCUCUCUCUCUCUCUCUCUCUCUCUCUCUCUCUGUGUGUGUGUGUGUGUGUGUGUGAGAGAGAGAGAGAGAGAGAGAGAGAGAUAGAGAGAGAGAGAGAGAUAGAUGCU
rnacentral:miRNA from 1 species